ensembl:lncRNA novel transcript
CCCGCCUCGCGGUGUGUGCCUGCCCCGCUGCGAUGGAGGUCCUAAGAGCAAGGGGGGGAAGAGGGGCUGGCUCUGGUAGAUUGCAAAUGACCUGCUUUUUUUCUGAUCCCGAGCUGCGUUCGGACCCCUGUCGGAUAGUAAAUCCCAGGUACCUGCCGUGGGCAGAUCUGAGCUUUCUUCUUGGACACCCCAUACCCACAGUCCUCCAGGCCACCCUUAAGUACAAUGUUCUCCUACCUAAGAAGGCAUCUGGAUUUUCUCUUUCCUUGGAAAUAGUAAAGAACUACUCUUUGACUGUUUUUGACCUCACAGUGAACCUCAAAUACACUGGAAUUCGCAAUAAAUCCAGUAUGGUGGUUAUAGAUGUAAAAAUGCUAUCAGGAUUUACUCCAACCAUGUCAUCCAUUGAAGAGCUUGAAAACAAGGGCCAAGUGAUGAAGACUGAAGUCAAGAAUGACCAUGUUCUUUUCUACUUGGAAAAUGUUUUUGGUCGAGCAGACAGUUUCACUUUUUCUGCUGAGCAGAGCAACCUUGUGUUCAACAUUCAGCCAGCCCCAGGCAUGGUCUACGAUUAGUACGAAAAAGAAGAAUAUGCCCUAGCUUUUUACCACAUCAACAGUAGUUCAGUUUCCGAGUGAGACAAAGCAAUUACUGGAAGAAGUAAAGAAAUUUUAUUACGUCAUAAACCAUUGAAAACACAUCUAGUAAGAAAAUGAAAACCUGAAUAAGAUAGGACAAUAGUUGAAGAAAGAAAAGUCUCUGGUACUUCAUUAGACUUGUGUAGCUGUGUACUGCAUGAGUAAUCUGAUAAUCAUUAAGAUUAUAUUAAUUUCUUUAAAAAUAGCUUUAAAGAAUUCACAGCUAUAUAUGUACCUUUUAUAAAUCUCUCAUUUUUGUUUUGUAAGUUGACAGGUCAGUAAAAAUUUAGGCAUAUAUAUUUGUACAUAUGUGUGUAUAUGUAUAUACAUGUCUAUGUGCCUAUAUAUGCAUGUUUUUAUUUCUAAAUAUCUAUUUAUAUAUACAUACAAAUGUGUUUAUUGUUUAAAUGAUGUUUUAAAUCCCAGGUGGAGAAGCAUUUCUUUUAACAAACUGAUUCUUCUGUAUCAAACCUGGAAAAAAAUCAUGAACCAUCUGACAUCGUGAACAGUCUGCAGUGGGCUAUGGUUUCUUGACAAGUCUUAUUUCCUUAUCAUCCCAUUAAAUGUUGUCAUUUUG